GACGAACGCUGGCGGCGUGCUUAACACAUGCAAGUCGAACGGUGAAGGGGUCUGCUUUUGUGGGCCCUGGAUGAGUGGCGAACGGGUGAGUAACACGUGAGUAACCUGCCCCCUUCUUCUGGAUAACCGCAUGAAAGUGUGGCUAAUACGGGAUAUUCUGGGUCUGUCGCAUGAUGGGUCUGGGAAAGAUUGCGCCUUUGGGUGUUUUUGGUGGGGGAUGGGCUCGCGGCGUAUCAGCUUGUUGGUGGGGUGAUGGCCUACCAAGGCGGUGACGGGUAGCCGGCCUGAGAGGGUGGACGGUUACACUGGGACUGAGACACGGCCCAGACUCCGACGGGAGGCAGCAGUGGGGAAUAUUGCACAAUGGGCGCAAGCCUGAUGCAGCGACGCCGCGUGAGGGAUGGAGGCCUUCGGGUUGUAAACCUCUUUCGCCAGUGAAGCAGGCCUGCUCCUUGUGGGUGGGUUGACGGUAGCUGGAGAAGAAGCGCCGGCUAACUACGU
rnacentral:rRNA from 1 species